GGGUUAAGUCCCGCAACGAGCGCAACCCCCGCCGUUAGUUGCCAGCCGGUUCGGCCGGGCACUCUAACGGGACUGCCCGCGAAAGCGGGAGGAAGGAGGGGACGACGUCUGGUCAGCAUGGCCCUUACGGCCUGGGCGACACACGUGCUACAAUGCCCACUACAAAGCGAUGCCACCCGGCAACGGGGAGCUAAUCGCAAAAAGGUGGGCCCAGUUCGGAUUGGGGUCUGCAACCCGACCCCAUGAAGCCGGAAUCGCUAGUAAUCGCGGAUCAGCCAUGCCGCGGUGAAUACGUUCCCGGGCCUU
rnacentral:rRNA from 1 species